rnacentral:misc_RNA from 1 species
CCGACUCCCGUUUUAACAUAUAUUCCCUCUCUCCACAAUUGCCCUUGCCUCGCCUCAAGCAAUCAAACGCAACAAGGGUUUCUCUUCGCUCCUUUAGCUCACACCGAUCAUCCAUGGCUAACAACUCUUCCUCCGAUUCUCGCCACACUCUCUCCGUCGUUCCUCCUCACCAGAUCUCCAAAGAUGUGCAAGGAUCCGACAAUCCUAUACCUCUUUCACCGCAAUGGCUUCUUCCAAAGGCAAGUGAGAAUAAGUCUGGAGUAGGAAUUGGGGAAAGCCAUUUCAAUGCAUAUCCAGUGUAUGGGAAUCGCGUGGAGAACAUGAAGUCAUCAGGAAAUGGUGAGGAGAUGCCUGAUGCCCAGAAGAAAAAAGAUGUUUUCCGUCCCUCCUUGCUUGAUAUGGAAACUGGUCGUCGUGAUCGCUGGCGAGAUGAAGAAAGAGACACCAAUUCCUCCUUGGUGCGCAAAGAUCGUUGGAGAGAUGGAGAUAAGGAGCACGGUGACACCCGGCGGAUGGAUCGCUGGAUGGACAAUUCAUCAACCAGACAUUAUGAGUCACGCCGUGCUCCUUCCGAGCGCUGGACUGAUUCAGGUAACAGAGAGACUAACUAUGAUCAGCGGCGAGAGAGCAAGUGGAAUACACGUUGGGGGCCUGAUGACAAGGAGACAACAAGUGCACGCGACAAGUGGAUGGACUCUGGAAGAGAUGGUGACUUGCCUCUUGAAAAGGGGUUGUCUCAUCUUCCUAGUCAUGGAAAGGAUGAGAGGGAGGGUGAUCAUUACCGGCCAUGGAGAUCUAACUCCUCCCAAAGUCGAGGAAGGGGAGAGCCUCCUCAUCACCAACCUUUAAUGGCAAAUAAACAACAGGUUCUGACAUUUUCUCCUGGCCGUGGACGUGGGGAAAAUACUCCAACUUUUCAUUCUCAAUCUUGGGGAGCCACCAUGUUGCAUAAGGGUGAAAGUGGUCCUUUAAGAUAUAGUAGGACAAAAUUGCUUGAUGUUUACAGGAUGACUGACAUGAAAUUAUAUAGUAAACUAUUAGAUGGAUUUGUCCAAGUGCCUUCUCUUACACAGGAAGAAGCCUUGGAGCCACUGGCACUCUGUGCGCCUAAUUCUGAGGAAACGGCUGUUUUGAAGGGAAUUGACAAAGGGGACAUUGUAAGUAGCGGUGCACCUCAGAUGUCCAAAGAGGGUUCUUUGGGACGGACCUCGAUAGAUUCACAAUCAAGACGAGCCAAACUUGGCAGUAGAGAAGAUGUUUCAUUUCCUAUUGACAAUGCUAAAGAUGAAAAUGUUGACAAUUCAAAAGUUGGUUACGGAAAUUGCACAGAGGUAUCUUCCCAUGAAAGGCAGACACAGCAUCAUGGAUCCAAUACAGAAUUGGAAGCCAUGCUUAAUCAUAAGUUGAUUCAUGAUAACAAAUUAAAAGCUGAAGGUAAUUGACAGAUAAGUGUUACAUAUGAAGUCAAUUAUGUGUAGGAUUUUGUUAAACUAUGGAGUUGGUGCUUGAAAUGAUAAGUAGCUGUGCAGAUGACCUUUUUGUCUGCAUUUAAUAUUGCUAGAUAAAUGAUUUCAUUUCUAACUGUAGAUUGUUUGGGAUAAUUUUAAACACAUACACACACGCACCGCACAUGUACAUAGAUAUGUAUAUCUCUCUGUGUUUGCAUGCGGGCCUCUUAAAUUGUUACUAGCUUUAGCUUGAUUUUUUGAUUCUUAAUUGGAAAAAAUCAGAUGAGUUUCAGUGCUUUGGUUCUUUUUAUUUCAAAUUUUAUGUAUGUGAUUACUUUGUGAUGCAAUCUUUUUCCUCUUAGCUUUGACAUGUAUGGAAGUUUUGUCUGUAUAGUCUUUGUGCAUUUUUAUAAUUAUUUCCUUCUAUCUGCAGUUAUUAAAGAAGAUACUGGUAUUCACAGAAGGAUUGAUGAGCCACCUAUCAUUAGGGAAUCAACUUUGCAGGGAAAUAAUUCUGAGCAUCCUAACACUCCUUGGCGAGCCCAAUCACUGGGAGAACAUUUGCAUAUGGCCUUGAAUGACUGGAGAGAGAUUCCAAGUGAUGGCAGGUCAAGGACCUCUGAGAUGGGCUGGAAUCAACCUCAGAAAGAUCUAGAUAAUCGGUGGGACAGUAAUUUGGUUAACUCUCCGUGUCUCAAAGAUGAAGCAAAAUGGCAAGCCGGUGAAGAUCCCGUUAUUAGGAGGCAGCCAUCUGUGCUUCUGGAUAGGGAACAAGAAGCCAAGAAGCUUUCUCAGCCCUCACCGGAGAAUCUAGUUCUUUACUAUAAAGAUCCUCAGGGUGAAAUUCAAGGUCCUUUUUCUGGUAGUGAUAUUAUUGGAUGGUUUGAGGCUGGAUAUUUUGGGAUAGAUUUGCAAGUUCAGCUUGCAAGUGCAUCAAAGGACUCGUCAUUUUCAUUACUUGGUGAUGUGAUGCCUCAUUUGCGAGCUAAGGCAAGACCGCCACCUGGGUUUAGUGCUCCAAAACAAAAUGAAUUCACAGAUGCAGCAAGUAGGUCUAACUAUAGUAGUUUUGGAAAUGUUCAUUCUGGUCUAAGCGAGCUUGAUCUGGUAAGAAGUGAACCAAGGCAGAAACCUGUUUCGACAACAGAAGCUGAAAAUAGAUUCUUGGAGUCACUGAUGUCUGGAAAUAUAAGCAAUUCAUCUCAAGGUUUGCAAGGAUAUGUUGGAAACAGUUCUGCUAGUAUUGCCCCAUCGGGUGUUGAUGGUGGAAAUGACCUGUAUCUUUUGGCAAAGAGAAUGGCACUUGAACGUCAGAGGUCAUUACAUAAUCCUUAUCCAUAUUGGCCUGGGAGGGAUGCUGCACCUGUGGCUUCAAAAUCAGAAGUUCUCUCAGACUCUCCAAUGCCACAUGCAAAACUCUUAUCUUCAUUAAGCGACAAUCCUCGUCAGCCCCCUCAUUCUCAGAAUGCUGACCUGUUGUCCAUCCUUCAAGGCUCUGCCUCUGGCAUUAAUAAUGAUGUUACUGGUUGGUCAAAUUUCCCUGCCCAAGGAAGUCUGGAUCCUCUUCAGGAUAAGAUUGACUUGCAUCAUACCCAGAAUUUCCCCCCACAAGCUACCUUUGGGCAACAACAGAGGCUUCAGCCACAGAGACCACCCUCCUUAGCAAAUCUACUUGGUCAAGCAAUAGAUAGUCCAUCUGGUGUUUUGACACCUGAAGCUUUACUCUCCCCCAGUUUAUCUCAAGAUCCACAAUUGCUAAAUAUGUUGCAACAGCAGUACUUGUUGCAGUUACAUUCCCAGGCUCCUCUUCCAGCACAGCAGCUGUCAGUGUUGGAUAAGUUUUUGUUGCUUAAACAGCAGCAGAAACAGGAGGAGCAACAGUUGCUGAGACAACAGCAGCUGCUUUCUCAGGUUUUGUCGGAACAUCAUUCUCACCAACUUUUUGGAGAGCCACCAUAUGGACAGUUCCAUUCUUCUGCAAUAGCUACAGGAAACAUAUCUGCUGAUGCUUCUCGGCUUCAGCCAUCAAAAGAAAUGCUGCAGAUUGGUUCUCAGAUACCUGUUUCAAAUUUUCAAGAUGAACACCCUCCUGGCUUGAUGAAUUUUCCUCCACAAGUUACUCAGGAUGUUAGUUGUAAUGUUGAUACAGGAGUAUCUUCUUUCCAACUUUCGCAUCAGAUGUUUGGGAAUGUUAAUAGUCAACAAGGUUGGGGUACUAUCCCUGAACAGAAUGAUGAAAUGCACCAGAAGGAAUCCUUGCUAGCAUCAUCACCUGUAGAGAUAUCAUCUUCACAAGAGUUGAUGGACAAAUCUACACAGGAGUGUUCCAUUGUGCCUGAACCUGUACAUGCUUCUGAUCACCAUGCUCCUCUUUCUGUGGAGCAGGCAUCAGAAUACACUUGGAUUGAAGAAACUUCACAGGUUGCAAUUCCUGAGAUUACUGCAAAUGCUGUACAACUGGAUUCCGCUGGGAUCUCGGUUACUAGACCUCUAUCAGGAACUCAUGAGGAUGAAAUUACAAAGCUUGAACAUGCCUGUGCGAUGAAAGUUCAGCUAGAUGGCACUCUUGGUGAGCAGCAGGUUGAAAAAGAAAGGUCCAGUGAUGAGCCCUCAGUGCCUGUGGAGGCAGAUGUGAAAAAAGUUGAAGUUCACGAGGCAAGAAAAGCUUCUGAGAAGAAACCCAGAAAGCAAAAAUCUGCUAAAUCAAAGUCUACAGACCAGAUAAAGGGAACAUCUAAGAAUUCCACUGUGCAGCAAAUAAGGCAAUCAGAAAGUGAAAGGCCAAAUUUUGGUGACAACAAAUUUGAGUCUCAUAAUGGAGCAGGAGAAAAUCUUCAUGGCACGCCACCAGAAAAGAUAAGAGACAACAAGUUUGGGAUUUCUUCUGCAGAAAUUAAGUAUUCCCAACCAGAUAAAAGUUUUAUGUCUUCAGAUUUUACUACGGAUGACGCUGAAAUCACAGAAAAUGAUGAAUCUAAACCUGUUGUGUCUGUUUCAAUUCUCAAUGCCCAGGUAAAUGUGGGGCAACGAGCUUGGAAACCUGCACCUGGUUUCAAACCAAAAUCAUUGUUGGAAAUUCAACUGGAAGAACAGAGAAAGGCAAAGGCAGAAGUAGCAGUUUCUGAGAUCACCACUUCUGUGAGCUCCAUGACUUUGACAACUCCUUGGGUUGGGGUUGUGGGCAGUUCAGAGCCAAAGAUUUCCAGAGAAACUCCUAAAGAUGCAAGUAAUAAUGAGUUAAAUGUGGGGAAACCUGAAAUUUCACCUAAUUCAAAGAGCAAGAAAAGCCAGUUACAUGAUCUAUUGGCAGAAGAAGUUUUGGCAAAGUCUAAUGAUGGAGAGAUGGAGGUUCUUGAAAGUGUGUCUAGCUUGCCUUCUCAACAACUCACCAUGACUAAUGUGGAAUCUGUAGAUGAUGACAACUUUAUUGAAGCUAAAGAUACUAAAAAGAGUCGCAAAAAGUCUGCUAAAGCUAAGGGUACUGGCACUAAGGCCUUAGUGCCUACAACUGUUGAUGUGCCCGUUAGUUCAAGUCCUAUUGAGAAAGGAAAAAGCUCCCGUCUUGUGCAACAGGAGAAGGAAGUAUUGCCUGCAAUUCCGUCAGGCCCUUCUUUAGGAGAUUUUGUUUUUUGGAAAGGAGAGUCAACAACUCAUUCCCCUUCUCCAGCAUGGUCUACUGACACCAAGAAGCUCCCUAAACCCACCUCUUUAAGGGACAUACUAAUGGAGCAGGAGAAGAAGGUUUCUUCCGUCCAGCCUCAAAAUCCAAUGAUAACCCUUCAGAAACCCCAGCCAACUCAAGCUACCCAAGGAAGUGGUCCUUCAUGGUCACUUUCUGCUUCUUCUCCCUCUAAGGCUGCUUCUUCCAUCCAGAUCAAUUCCAAUGCUGCUAUUCAGUCAAAAUAUAAAGCAGAUGAUGACCUAUUCUGGGGCCCAGUUGAUCAAUCUAAGCAGGAAACUAAGCAGUCUGAAUUUCCUCAGCUGGUGAACCAGGGCAGUUGGGGAACCAAAAACACUCCUGUAAAAGGAACUCCAAGUGGUUCAUUAAGCCGACAAAAAUCCUUGGGUGGCAGGCAUGCUGAGCGUUCCCUUUCAUCCUCACCUGCCUCGGUUCAGUCAUCUCUUAAAGGGAAAAGAGAUACAAUUAACAAACAGUCUGGUAGAGUCACAAUACAAUUGAUGGUCUUUUCUUGUCAAAAAUAUUGGCUAAACCUAUAUGUUUUCACUCUUUUGCAGAGGCCAUGGACUUCAGAGAUUGGUGUGAAAGUGAGUGUGUUAGACUUAUUGGGACAAAAGGUAUCAGUCUGCUAUUUAGUUUCUGUUUGCCAGCAUUUAUUUUUCAUCAUUCUUGGUUAAAAGCAGCAGGGUAAGAAGGAUAUUUUGUAACUCAAUAAUUGCUUUCUUCUCAGAUGUUACCUUAGUUUAAAAUGAAUUAGAAUCAUAUGAGUGCAUAUAAGAAAUUGGAAACUAAAUAUGGUGUCUCAAACAUGAAGGCAUGUUAUAUAAAUCAAGGCAAAGUACUGCAGGAUUCUUCAUUGAUUUAAAGUACAAAUUCUGUUUCUGCAUCUCAAAAUUUCUGGCACUUGAACUUUAGAGGUGUAUUUGUCUUGUGCAAUUGUCAUAUAUGUAUAUUUUCGAUACUUGAUAGAUACGAGUUUCUUGGAGUUCUGCUCGAAGCAAUCCAGAUCAGAGGCUGAGAUGCUUCUGAUAGAGAAUCUUGGAUCAUUUGACCCCAAUCACGAGUUCAUUGACAAAUUCCUCAAUUAUAAAGAGUUGUUACCAGCAGAUGUACUCGAAAUCGCCUUUCAAAGUCGGAAUGAUCGAAUGGCCACUGCUUUCAGUGCUGGAGAUAUGAAUUUUGAAAAUGCUGGUGUUGGGGACUACGACCGUGAUAUCACCAUGGGACUUGAUGGGUCCUCAAAGGGUGGUGGAAAGAAAAAAGGAAAGAAAGGCAAGAAGGUUAGCCCUUCCGUUUUGGGAUUUAAUGUUGUCAGUAACAGGAUCAUGAUGGGUGAGAUUCAGACGGUUGAAGAUUAGGAGUCUUCUCAAGGUACAUGUAAAUACAAUUUGCUUUAACUAUGUGUAAGUGUUGUCUUAGGAUUUUUGUCUUGGCGUAAUGACGAAAAAAGCCAUAUCUUCUUGGUUUUUUUCUUCCAAAACUUCUAAUUUUGGCAAUUUUAUCCAAAUUGCCAAAGUUAUUGCAAUUCUAUCUCAUUUUUUCCAAUUAAUCGUUCAACUCCAUUUUAUGACUGAAUCCACAACCACUCACGAUGAUCCAAUCCCACAACUAUUACCAAUACUACCCAAACUUCAUUUUGAUAUCCAUAAUGCAUUAAAAACUUAGCCAUUUGGCCAAAUCAGGGCGGUUUGUUUGU